rnacentral:rRNA from 1 species
GAAUUUUGGACAAUGGGCGAAAGCCUGAUCCAGCAAUGCCGCGUGCAGGAUGAAGGCCUUCGGGUUGUAAACUGCUUUUGUACGGAACGAAAAGCUUUGGGUUAAUACCCUGGAGCCCUGCCGGUACCGUAAGAAUAAGCACCGGCUACCUACGUGACUGCCGCCGCGGCAAUACGUAGGGUGCAAGCGUUAAUCCGCAUUACUGGUCGUAAAGCGGGCGCCGGCGGUGUUGUAAGACAGAAGUGAAAUCCCCGGGCUCAACCUGGGAACUGCCUUUGUGACUGCAAGGCUAGAGUACGGCAGAGGGGGGUGGAAUUCGGCGUGUAGCAGUGAAAUGCGUAGAUAUGCGGAGGAACACCGAUGGCGAAGGCAACCCCCUGGGCCUGUACUGACGCUCAUGCACGAAAGCGUGGGGAGCAAACA